GGCGAGUGAAGCGGCAAAAGCUCAAAUUUGAAAUCUGGCUCUUUCAGAGUCCGAGUUGUAAUUUGAAGAAGGUAUCUUUGGGUCUGGCUCUUGUCUAUGUUUCUUGGAACAGAACGUCACAGAGGGUGAGAAUCCCGUGCGAUGAGAUGAUCCAGGCCUAUGUAAAGUUCCUUCGAAGAGUCGAGUUGUUUGGGAAUGCAGCUCUAAGUGGGUGGUAAAUUCCAUCUAAAGCUAAAUAUUGGCGAGAGACCGAUAGCGAACAAGUACAGUGAUGGAAAGAUGAAAAGAACUUUGAAAAGAGAGUGAAAAAGUACGUGAAAUUGUUGAAAGGGAAGGGCUUGAGAUCAGACUUGGUAUUUUGUAUGUUACUUCUUCGGGGGUGGCCUCUACAGUUUAUCGGGCCAGCAUCAGUUUGGGCGGUAGGAGAAUUGCGUUGGAAUGUGGCACGGCUUCGGUUGUGUGUUAUAGCCUUCGUCGAUACUGCCAGCCUAGACUGAGGACUGCGGUUUAUACCUAGGAUGUUGGCAUAAUGAUCUUAAGUCGCCCGUCUUAA
rnacentral:rRNA from 1 species